rnacentral:snoRNA from 1 species
GCAUGCUGUUGACGAUUAAAGAUCUAGCAAUGGAUAAUACGAUGAAUGUGCUCGCGUGCCGCUGGGUGUGCAGCUGUGAUGAUAUGCAUUCUUACGCAGUUCAUCUGAGGCAAGC